rnacentral:rRNA from 1 species
CAGCACCUCAAGUGGUCAGGAUGAUUAUUGGGCCUAAAGCAUCCGUAGCCGGCUCUGUAAGUUUUCGGUUAAACCUGUACGCUCAACGUACAGGCUGCCGGGAAUACUGCAGAGCUAGGGAGUGGGAGAGGUAGACGGUACUCGGUAGGAAGGGGUAAAAUCCUUUGAUCUAUUGAUGACCACCUGUGGCGAAGGCGGUCUACCAGAACACGUCCGACGGUGAGGGAUGAAAGCUGGGGGAGCAAACCGGAUUAGAUACCCGCGUAGUCC